GUCCAGGGGCGGGAAUCGAACCCACUACCUUCUGCUUACCGGGCAGGUGCCAUGUCCACUAGGCAACCCUGGA
rnacentral:tRNA from 1 species